CUGCCUGGUAAGGGGAACUUUAACCACAAAACUUCCCCAGUGCUGAAGUGGCCCUAAGAAACAGCAAUACCGAGGACUUGCUGUUGAAUGUGUUAAACCACAUGUGUUAAACCAGUUGGAGAACAUGGCAGGGCAGAGCCAGUGAACUGAUCCCUCCUGCACAGCCUGCAGGAAGGGGAAACCCAAGCCUGCCAGCUCUAGAGCAAGGCUGUCACAGCAAGGAGAGGCUGGCUCUGGACUCUUUCUGCUAUGCAGCAUCCAGAGUCAUGGCAAAUAGGGCUGGAUUGCUGGAGCCGCCCUUCCCCUAUCAGGAAGGCUGUCCAGCCCUGCUCAAGUCAGCUGGAAAACACCUGGCACAGAACCCAUCUUCCAGGCUUGAUCCUAUACCUCAGUUGCAUCCGAUGCCCCCAGCCUGCAUGGAGCCUCACCCACUUAUACUCUUCAGCCAUGAUGCCUGCUGACUGUUGUUCCACUAAACAGAUUCCAGAGCCCAUUUUCCUCAAGCUUUUGAUCAAUUCCUUUGGGUUUGGUUUUUAUUUUGUUGUGAUGGCAAUUAUUGUACCGUAAGGUUUUGGGGUGUUUUUGCAGUGGGAAAGCACUUUGCAAAUAAGAGUCUGGUUCUCAUGUACAAACCAAACCUUUUUUGGAGACUUCUGGAAGCUGAGACAAGCCACAGUUGCAGAACAGCAUAAUUGUUAAUGAGCUAAGGGUAAACUACUAAAAGGGACAGAUCCAUAGAGGAGGAGCAAAAUUUGCUGGAGUCACAAGCAGAUUUUGUAUGGCAGGGGCUGGCAACUUUUUACAAGCCCCAGGAUGGAACAAUUUGGUUCUGGUCAAAUGCAGGCUGAGUGGCUUUGGCAAUGUGUCAAUAGCAGAGGGCUUCCCCAGCUCCCACUGGAGCCAGGCAGCUGGGAGCUUCUGCUUCUUCUCCCAGCCCCUCACUCCUUGGCCAUGCGGCAGGCAGUUUCCAGCUGGUGGGGAGCUAUGUCAGGGCCAGGCACCUGCAAACUGCAUCCAUGCUGCUGCCACUUCUUCCUGCUCCCCCUCCCUAUUCCAUCCCCUGGCUGCAGCAUGGCCACAGCUGGAAGCUGUCCAGCCCCAAUGCAACUCCCCACCUGUUGGAAACUGCACUUAUGCCACAACUGGAGGAAGUAGAAGUGGCAGCAGUGCAGAGGCUGCCUGGCCCUGGCACAGUUCUCCAUGGGUUGGAAGCUGUGCCUGGACCCUAACCAGGGCAUUGUGGGGGGAUGCUGAGAGAAGCAGUGGCAGUGUGGAAGCAGCUCCCAGCUUCUCGGCUCUGGAGCAAAUGCAGGGGAAGCCCCUGCUGCUGGCACAUUGCCGAAGCCACGCAGCCCAUGUUGGACUGGAGCUGAGAGGUUAGGGAGAAGCGGCAGAGGUGCAGGCACAGCUAGAAGCUUUCCCAGUCUUGGAACAGCUCCUUGCUGCCUGGCCCCAGCAUAGGUAUAUGGUCAUGGACACAGGGCAAAGCUCUUCAACUCUGCGGGCCACAUCCAGUGACUCCUUGGGCUGGAUCAGGCCAGAUGUUAUUAACCCCUGUGCUAUGGUGUAUUUCAGGAUCUACGGCAGCUAGGAGCACAAAGUGUUAAUAAGAUCAGGAAGUCUGUAUUCCAGACCUGACGUAGUGGAGAGUUGGUUUACUGCGCAUAGGCAGGUAACGUGCAAGCUUUCCCCCUGCCCAGCUCUUACAUUGUACCUCCAUCCGACCUGACAAUUCCCUCUUGUGUUACAGGCCUGGGCCUCUCAGCAGCAGAGGAUGCUAAUCGGACCGAAAUGUGGGGGAUUUUUCUGGCACGUGGUAUUCUAGGAAUGAGGCA